CAAAUAUUUUCACACGGCACUGUAUAAAAGAAUACAUUUGACUAAAGUGAUCAUCAAUUGGAAGAAGUUUCAACUGACAAGUCGAGAACAGUCUGCUGUGGUGAACACGACAAUGAAGUGGUUGAUCUUGGCUUUCUGCGUCACCGUGCUGAUCAUAGCUGGUGAAGCUCUGCAAUGCCCUUCCUGUAAACCGUGGGUGCCAUUUUGUAUUCCUAAAAUGAUCGACUGCGCCGCGGGCCAAGUCUGCGGUAAUGACCCAUUCCACGGAGGGUGCGUAUGGCCGUGACAGUGACAGCGGACAAGCCCUCAACUUCAAGUGCUCCAGAAUGGACCACGGCGACCAUCCUUUCAUAAAAGUAUAAAAAAAAAAAAGUAUCCCUGUAGUUUAGUUGGAAAGCAUUAAAAAAUGUCAAAAAAAA